rnacentral:miRNA from 1 species
UAGUAAUCCUUCUUUGCAAAGUC